UGAAGAGUUUGAUCCUGGCUCAGAUUGAACGCUAGCGGGAUGCUUUACACAUGCAAGUCGAACGGCAGCACGAGAGAGCUUGCUCUCUUGGUGGCGAGUGGCGGACGGGUGAGUAAUAUAUCGGAACGUGCCUAGUAGCGGGGGAUAACUACUCGAAAGAGUGGCUAAUACCGCAUACGCCCUACGGGGGAAAGGGGGGGAUCGCAAGACCUCUCACUAUUAGAGCGGCCGAUAUCGGAUUAGCUAGUUGGUGGGGUAAAGGCUCACCAAGGCAACGAUCCGUAGCUGGUUUGAGAGGACGACCAGCCACACUGGGACUGAGACACGGCCCAGACUCCUACGGGAGGCAGCAGUGGGGAAUUUUGGACAAUGGGGGAAACCCUGAUCCAGCCAUCCCGCGUGUAUGAUGAAGGCCUUCGGGUUGUAAAGUACUUUUGGCAGAGAAGAAAAGGUACCUCCUAAUACGAGGUACUGCUGACGGUAUCUGCAGAAUAAGCACCGGCUAACUACGUGCCAGCAGCCGCGGUAAUACGUAGGGUGCAAGCGUUAAUCGGAAUUACUGGGCGUAAAGCGUGUGUAGGCGGUUCGGAAAGAAAGAUGUGAAAUCCCAGGGCUUAACCUUGGAACUGCAUUUUUAACUGCCGAGCUAGAGUAUGUCAGAGGGGGGUAGAAUUCCACGUGUAGCAGUGAAAUGCGUAGAUAUGUGGAGGAAUACCGAUGGCGAAGGCAGCCCCCUGGGAUAAUACUGACGCUCAGACACGAAAGCGUGGGGAGCAAACAGGAUUAGAUACCCUGGUAGUCCACGCCCUAAACGAUGUCAACUAGCUGUUGGGGCCGUUAGGCCUUAGUAGCGCAGCUAACGCGUGAAGUUGACCGCCUGGGGAGUACGGUCGCAAGAUUAAAACUCAAAGGAAUUGACGGGGACCCGCACAAGCGGUGGAUGAUGUGGAUUAAUUCGAUGCAACGCGAAAAACCUUACCUACCCUUGACAUGUCUGGAAUCCCGAAGAGAUUUGGGAGUGCUCGCAAGAGAACCGGAACACAGGUGCUGCAUGGCUGUCGUCAGCUCGUGUCGUGAGAUGUUGGGUUAAGUCCCGCAACGAGCGCAACCCUUGUCAUUAGUUGCUACGCAAGAGCACUCUAAUGAGACUGCCGGUGACAAACCGGAGGAAGGUGGGGAUGACGUCAAGUCCUCAUGGCCCUUAUGGGUAGGGCUUCACACGUCAUACAAUGGUCGGGACAGAGGGUCGCCAACCCGCGAGGGGGAGCCAAUCUCAGAAACCCGAUCGUAGUCCGGAUCGCAGUCUGCAACUCGACUGCGUGAAGUCGGAAUCGCUAGUAAUCGCGGAUCAGAAUGUCGCGGUGAAUACGUUCCCGGGUCUUGUACACACCGCCCGUCACACCAUGGGAGUGGGUUUCACCAGAAGUAGGUAGCCUAACCGUAAGGAGGGCGCUUACCACGGUGGGAUUCAUGACUGGGGUGAAGUCGUAACAAGGUAGCCGUAUCGGAAGGUGCGGCUGGAUCACCUCCUUU
rnacentral:rRNA from 1 species